rnacentral:rRNA from 1 species
AGGCGACGAUCCCUAGCUGGUCUGAGAGGAUGACCAGCCACACUGGAACUGAGACACGGUCCAGACUCCUACGGGAGGCAGCAGUGGGGAAUAUUGCACAAUGGGCGCAAGCCUGAUGCAGCCAUGCCGCGUGUAUGAAGAAGGCCUUCGGGUUGUAAAGUACUUUCAGCGGGGAGGAAGGGAGUAAAGUUAAUACCUUUGCUCAUUGACGUUACCCGCAGAAGAAGCACCGGCUAACUCCGUGCCAGCAGCCGCGGUAAUACGGAGGGUGCAAGCGUUAAUCGGAAUUACUGGGCGUAAAGCGCACGCAGGCGGUUUGUUAAGUCAGAUGUGAAAUCCCCGGGCUCAACCUGGGAACUGCAUCUGAUACUGGCAAGCUUGAGUCUCGUAGAGGGGGGUAGAAUUCCAGGUGUAGCGGUGAAAUGCGUAGAGAUCUGGAGGAAUACCGGUGGCGAAGGCGGCCCCCUGGACGAAGACUGACGCUCAGGUGCGAAAGCGUGGGGAGCAAACAGGAUUAGAU